GAUGAACGCUGGCGGCGUGCCUAAUACAUGCAAGUCGAGCGAACAGACGAGGAGCUUGCUCCUCUGACGUUAGCGGCGGACGGGUGAGUAACACGUGGAUAACCUACCUAUAAGACUGGGAUAACUUCGGGAAACCGGAGCUAAUACCGGAUAAUAUAUUGAACCGCAUGGUUCAAUAGUGAAAGACGGUUUUGCUGUCACUUAUAGAUGGAUCCGCGCCGCAUUAGCUAGUUGGUAAGGUAACGGCUUACCAAGGCAACGUUGGGUAGCCGACCUGAGAGGGGGAGCGGGAACAGUGGAAAUACGACAGGGAGCAGGAAAGUAAUGGAGGCAGAAGGAGGGAAGAGGGAGGAAGGGGGGAAGAAUGGAAAAAGCAACGAAGAGGGAAGGAUAAAGGUCGAGGGAUCGAAGAACGCUGUUAGGAGGGAAAAACAAAUGUGCAGGGAAAAAGGCGGGUCGAGAAGGAAGGGAAUAGAAAAACAAAGUAGAUAGAAG
rnacentral:rRNA from 1 species